rnacentral:lncRNA from 1 species
AUAUGGGGCAGGGAUGGAAGAUAUGGGGCAGGGAAUGGAAGAUAUGGGGCAGGGAUGGAAGAUAUGGGGCAGGGAUGGAGGAUAUGGGGCAGGGAUGGAAGAUAUGGGGCAGGGAUGGAAGAUAUGGGGCAGGGGAUGGAAGAUAUGGGCAGGAUGGACAGAUAUGGGCAGGAAUGGAAGCUAUGGGUCACCCCCCACGCGCAGCGCAGUUAUGCGGCAAUUGAUGUGUUUGUUAUGGCUUUAUAGGGCAGCAUAUAGGCAAGCCUAUGGGGCAGCUAUUUGGCAGCUAUGGGCAGCUAAUGGGCAACUAUUAGGGCAGCUAUGGGCGUUAUAGGGCCACUAUAGGGCAUCUGUAGACCCCGUGCCGCUAUUGGGCAGCUAUGGGUCAUUAUAAGGCAGUUAUAGGGUGGCUAUGGGGCAGCUAUAGGGCCGCUAUGGGGCAGCUAUAGGGCAGCUAUGGGGCCACUAUAGGGCAUCUGUAGGGCUGCUAUGGGGCAGCUAUGGGUCAUUAUAAGGCAGUUAUAGGGUGGGCUAUGGGGCAGCUAUAGGGCCGCUUUGGGGCAAGCUAAGGGCAGCUCAUGGCCACAUAUAGCGGCAUCU